rnacentral:rRNA from 1 species
ACUGGAACUGAGACACGGUCCAGACUCCUACGGGAGGCAGCAGUGGGGAAUAUUGCACAAUGGGGGAAACCCUGAUGCAGGCAUGCCGCGUGUGUGAAGAAGGCCUUCGGGUUGUAAAGCACUUUCAGCGAGGAGGAAAGGUGUAGCUAAUACUGCGCUUUGACGUUACUCGCAGAAGAAGCACCGGCUAACUCCGUGCCAGCAGCCGC